AGCGGUAUAGCCAAGUGGUUAGGCAAGGGACUGCAAAUCCUUGAUAUCUCGGUUCGAAUCCGUGUAUCGCUU
rnacentral:tRNA from 1 species